GACGAACGCUGGCGGCGUGCCUAAUACAUGCAAGUCGAACGAAGCUGUUUUAACUGGUGCUUGCACCGACUUAAACAACUGAGUGGCGAACGGGUGAGUAACACGUGGGUAACCUGCCCCAAAGCGGGGGAUAACAUCUGGAAACAGAUGCUAAUACCGCAUAACCACAGAAACCACAUGGUUUCUGUGUCAAAGAUGGUCUCGGCUAUCACUUUGGGAUGGACCCGCGGCGUAUUAGCGAGUUGGUAAGGUAAUGGCUUACCAAGGCAAUGAUACGUAGCCGAACUGAGAGGUUGAUCGGCCACAUUGGACUGAGACACGGCCCAAACUCCUACGGGAGGCAGCAGUAGGGAAUCUUCCACAAUGGACGAAAGUCUGAUGGAGCAACGCCGCGUGAGUGAAGAAGGUUUUCGGAUCGUAAAACUCUGUUGUCAGGGAAGAACGUGUGCGAGAGUAACUGCUCGUGCAGUGACGGUAUCUGGCCAGAAAGCCACGGCUAACUACGUGCCAGCAGCCGCAGUAA
rnacentral:rRNA from 1 species